rnacentral:rRNA from 1 species
AGGAUGAACGCUAGCGGCAGGCUUAACACAUGCAAGUCGAGGGGCAGCGCGGGAGCAAUCCCUGGCGGCGACCGGCGGAAGGGUGCGUAACGCGUGAGCAACUUGCCCGUAUCUGGGACAUAACCGGUGGAAACGCCGACUAAUUUCCCAUAACAACAGGGAUGACAUCUUCCUUGUUUGAAAGCUUCGGUGGAUACGGAUGGGCUCGCGUGACAUUAGCUAGUUGGAGUGGUAACGGCACACCAAGGCGACGAUGUCUAGGGGUUCUGAGAGGAAGGUCCCCCACACUGGAACUGAGACACGGUCCAGACUCCUACGGGAGGCAGCAGUGAGGAAUAUUGGUCAAUGGGCGGAAGCCUGAACCAGCCAUGCCGCGUGCCAGGAUUAAGGCCCUAUGGGUCGUAAACUGCUUUUGACGGGGAGCAAUAAGGGCUACGCGUAGUCCGAUGAGAGUACUCGUCGAAUAAGCAUCGGCUAACUCCGUGCCAGCCGCCGC